rnacentral:rRNA from 1 species
AGCGAACGCUGGCGGCAGGCCUAACACAUGCAAGUCGAACGAACUCUUCGGAGUUAGUGGCGGACGGGUGAGUAAAACGUGGGAACGUGCCUUUUGGUUCGGAAUAAAUCAGGGAAACUUGUGCUAAUACCGAAUGUGCCCUUCGGGGGAAAGAUUUAUCGCCAUUAGAGCGGCCCGCGUCUGAUUAGCGAGUUGGUGAGGUAACGGCACACCAAGGCGACGAUCAGUAGCUGGUCUGAGAGGAUGAACAGCCACUCUGGGACUGAGACACGGCCCAGACUCCCACGGGAGGGAGGAGUGGGGAAUCUUGCGCAAGGGGCGAAAGCCUGACGCAACCAUGCCGCGUGAAAGAUGAAGGUCUGAGGAGUGUAAAAUUCUUGCACCGGAGAAGAUAAUGACGGUACCCGGAGAAGAAGCCCCGGCUAACUUCGUG